GCCACGUAUACAGACUCACUGCUCAGACAGCAGUGCAGGGAAUGCAGCUGCCAGGAAGAGAAGGUGGAGGUAUGGAGAUUCUUUCUGUAGUUGCGACUGUCUGUGCUACUCUAUAGCAGAGGUAAUUAUUCCUGAACUUUGGGGAGAUACUAGAAUCCGUCUACUACUGCAGUUGUUCCUUUUGCAUUGCCAGUGUAACAGCAAUCACUCAAAGCCAGCUCAUCUCAAGUUCCUUUAGAUUGGAAACAGGGUUGUGAUCCUUGAACAUAUUUCAGAUGACAGAGGUUAGGCUAAAUCAGGUCUGGAUAAAAUAAUGAUGUUCCUAUCUUGUUGCCCUGACACCAACCAGCUCAGCAGAUGGAUCUAGAUGGGAAGGAGGUCCAGUGUUGGAAGUCCAGUGCUGGAAACCUGACAAGUAAUGAGAGCUGGAAGGGAGUCCAGUUUCUCCAGUGAUUCUAAACAUCGUAGCAGAGCCAAGUUUAAGUAAGUCUGAGGUGUCAUACCAUCUCUGGAGGCAUUCAAGGCCAGGCUCCUGGGCAACCCUGCCCACGACAGGAGGAUUGGAAUUAGAUGAUAUUUAAGGUUCCUUCCAACAUAAGCCAUUUUGUGAUUUUAUGGUUCUAUGAUACAUUGCAAAAGGCAUUGCUGGUGGGGGUCUGGCAACCUGCUUUAUCCCUUUGGGGAAUUCACCCUAUCCUCAGCACUGAGGGAAUCUAUUGGCUUUAAAGUCAACAUUCAGGAAUCAUUGCUCACUGGUGCUGGCAGGGUAAUGGAGAUGUCAAGAAUGCCUGAAGAUCUUCAUAAUCUGGAGGUUGCAUUGUGGAUUAUUUUUGAAACUAUGGAAGCAUUGUUUUUCUUUUCCUUGUUUGAAGCUGUCCAGGUUUUUGCGCACAUCACAGCAUGUAAAAAUAAAAUGAAUGCAUAGCUGUUUGCCAGCAAACACUUUGUGGAUUCAGUGUUUCAAAGCAGGAACCUACUUGUGCCUACAUGAAAGAAAUAUGUGUGUGAAAUCUGUAUGUGCACCUACCUGAGUCAUGUGCUAGCUAGGCAAACUGAGAAAGUGUUCCCACAGCCAAGGAGCUAUGGGCCAGGCUGUAAAUGAG
ensembl:lncRNA